UACGGGGGGGGCAAGCGUUGUUCGGAAUUACUGGGCGUAAAGGGCUCGUAGGCGGCCAACUAAGUCCGACGUGAAAUCCCCAGGCUUAACCUGGGAACUGCGUCGGAUACUGGAUGGCUUGAAUCCGGGAGAGGGAUGCAGAAUUCCAGGUGUAGCGGUGAAAUGCGUAGAUAUCUGGAGGAACACCGGCGGCGAAAGCGCGAGACUGGGCCAUAACUGACGCUGAGGAACGAAAGCCAGGGGAGCGAAAGGG
rnacentral:rRNA from 1 species